GACAGAGGGUGCAAACGUUGUUCGGAAUUACUGGGCGUAAAGCGCGUGUAGGCGGCCCUGCAAGUCGGGUGUGAAAUCCCACGGCUCAACCGUGGAAGUGCACUCGAAACUGCAGGGCUAGAGUCCUGGAGAGGAAGGUGGAAUGCUUGGUGGUAGAGGUGAAAUUCGUAGAUAUCAAGCGGAACACCGGUGGCGAAGGCGGCCUCUGGACAGUGACUGACGCUG
rnacentral:rRNA from 1 species